GGAAAUUUAAGAUGAGGACACAAUUGCAAAUUUUAUCUUUCCGAGAGGAUAGAUACGACAAACUUUAUUUUGGAAGGGAUAUCCGUGCAAAUUUGCCUAACCAUAUUGAGAAGCAACCCGCUCUAAUCCACAAACCUCUUCUUCUUCUUCUUCUUCUUCUUCGAUGGCUUCCGUCGCUUUACCUGCCAUCUCCAGCUACACCGCACUCCCUCGCAUCCUCGUCGGAGGUAGGUUCAAUUCGACCUCAGGACCGGUCGGUGGAGGAAGCCUCGUCCGUCGUUCCCUCCCUUACCUCUGCAGUGCCAGGAAACUCAAAACAUUCCGGGCGGAAUCCCCUGAUGUCAGGAAGAGGGAACGAGAACCAAUGUUGCCUCCUUAUAAUGUGCUCAUCACCGGUUCCACUAAAGGAAUUGGAUAUGCACUUGCGAGGGAAUUUUUAAAGGCGGGUGAUAAUGUUUUAAUAUGCUCAAGAUCAGCUGAACGUGUGGAAUCAGUGCUCCGGGACUUGAGAAAGGAAUUCGGAGAGCGAGUGUGGGGAACUGUAUGUGAUGUUAGAGAAGGAAAGGAUGUCAAAGCGUUGGUUUCUUUUGCGCAUGAAACUCUAGGAUAUAUUGACAUAUGGAUUAAUAAUGCUGGAUCAAAUGCAUACAGUUACAAACCAUUGGCUGAAACAUCUGAUGACGAUCUUCUGGAAGUUGUAACCACAAAUACACUGGGUUUGAUGAUUUGUUGUCGUGAGGCAAUAAAUAUGAUGUUUGACCAGCCUCGAGGUGGUCAUAUAUUUAACAUUGAUGGAGCGGGUUCAGAUGGAAGACCAACACCAAGAUUUGCUGCUUAUGGGGCAACCAAGCGAAGUGUUGUGCAUCUCACCAAGUCCUUGCAGGCAGAGUUGCAGAUGCAUGAAGUGAAAAACGUUAUGGUGCACAACUUAUCGCCUGGUAUGGUCACUACGGAUCUUCUUAUGUCGGGAGCCAUUACUAAACAAGCCAAAUUUUUUAUCAAUAUACUAGCUGAGCCUCCUGAAGUGAUCUAUCCCUGGCAGUCAAUCCAUGAAGCCCACAUACAUUAGAUUUCUCACAGGCUUCAAAGCUUACUCCCAGAUUUUUUCAAGACUUGCUUUCGGCGCUCGGCGAAACAGAUACCUUAUUGAAGAUUGAUCGGUCUGGCCAUUUUGCAGGUGCUCUUGUUGUUCCACUAGUGUCAGUAAUGAAAGAAAAACCCACAGGCUUCUGUAUGGUCUACGCAGCAGAAUGCACCAAUCUCGUUUAGUUGUACUGCCUAACUUUCAACUUAGCUAAAUAUUUUAGUUCCCUGUGCAGAAACAUUGUAAAUAUGUUUUUUGAUUUCUCUCUACUUCUGCUUAUCUACGUUCAUACUUCAGGAAUUCUAAUUUAAAAAGAACAAAUGAGAGUUGGAACUAAA